rnacentral:rRNA from 1 species
AGCGAACGCUGGCGGCAGGCCUAACACAUGCAAGUCGAACGAAGCCUUCGGGGUUAGUGGCGGACGGGUGAGUAACACGUGGGAACGUACCUUUUGGUUCGGAAUAACGCAGAGAAAUUUGCGCUAAUACCGAAUGAGCCCUUAGGGGGAAAGAUUUAUCGCCGAAAGAUCGGCCCGCGUUGGAUUAGGUAGUUGGGGUGAUAAAGGCGCACCAAGCAUAGGAUCCAUAGCUGGUCUGAGAGGAUGAUCAGCCACACUGGGACUGAGACACCGCCCAGACUCCUACGGGAGGCAGCAGUGGGGAAUCUUGCGCAAUGGGCGAAAGCCUGACGCAGCCAUGCCGCGUGAAUGAUGAAGGUCUUAGGAUUGUAAAAUUCUUUUACCAGGGACGAUAAUGACGGUACCUGGAGAAAAAGCCCCGGCUAACUUCGUGCCAGCCGCCGCCGUAAUAC